UUGCCGUCGAAAAUUUUUUUUGUAUGUGAAUACGUCUUAAAGAGGGAAAGCUUGCUAGUGUAACUGAUAUUGCUUUUUAACGUUGUGAUGCAGCGUAUUUCGUCGAUGCUCAGAAUUCUUAGAAAAGUGUAGCAUCGUUCCGUCAAGUUGCUCUCCGGCAUUCAACUAAUAAGGUUCCGUAAAGCAGGGAUAUUUUCCUCGGCUUCUAGACAGAUUAUUCAAACUAAAUCGUGUAAUCCAUAGUAGUAUUGCGAAAAGACUUUUGAAAAUGUAAGUCUAUUCUAAAACAGUGUCAAAAUCAUCUAGUUACAUACAAAGACAGCAGAUUUGUUUGAUAAUGUUUUAAAAAUUGCUGGAAAAUAGUCCCUGGAGCGGGUUACUUUGCUCCACACAAUGAACAAAAGGUGGUGUUUCAGGCUUGACUCAAAUGCCAUACGUUCUAGUUAGAGGGAAUCUCGCAUCUUACGGACAGAGGCAGCCGUGGAGAGUCCUAGUGUCUGGAUUAAAAGCUGGAAAUGGCCACUCAACUUUCGCAACCUAAUGAUUUAAAGAUGGAAGACCUGCCAUCAUACCUGUAUGUGGCAGUUAAAGGCUCAUUACAUGCUAAUGACUGUUCAGUCUUCGGACUAAAUUGUGAUGAAAUACAGGCACUCACAAAACGUUACCAGAACACCUCUGCAGAGACGCUUAAUGGAGUUAUAAUAAAAGGUACUGCUGCUUAUUAGAAAUGUGCUAUUAUUUACAUCAACUGGAAAUGGCUGAUAAACAAAGAACGUUUAGUGCUACAUAAGCAAUUGUCAAUGUUUAAGUGAAUUGUACAGAAAUUGUAAAGUUUAUUGUUGAAGAAAAUAAAUUUGUGUUUAGUGUAUGUGGCAGAUUUAGCCUAGACUAUAAAAUUGUUAACUUCUAAAAAUGAUUUUUUUGGUUUCUAAGUAUGAGAAAUUCUAAUGUCCUUCCUGUUGUUAAGAGUUUGUCUGUUUUUUGACUUGUCUGAACUGCAAGACCUACUAUAUGCACAAUUAUUCACAAUAUCUGGGUACGUAAAAUUAACACACAAUCAUAGAUGCUAUCUCUGGUUAAAUGGUUUGCUUGAAAUAAAAUGUACACAUAGUGUGUGGUUUAAAUGGUUUAAAAUGGAAGAAAAGCUUACCUUUUCACAAAUCUGCUAUGUUACCUAUUUAACAUGAACAACUGAUACAGUCUGUAAUUUGUCAUUUUGGUAUGAUGUGUAUACUUUGGCGCAAAGAAAUAUACUGCCAAAGAAGUUGAUGCUAUGCAAGAACAAAAAAUGUAUGGUAUUUUCAACAAGUAAGGAAAAUACUGGAAUUAAGUGUAUAGAAGAGUUCAAUUUAAACUUCUUGUAAGGACCACUUAAAUGAAUUUAUAGUUUUGUUUGUUGGAUUAAUUGUUAAGAAUAAUUAUUAAAAUAAAGCUUAUUGUAAUUUAAUGUUUGUACAUUAUAAUUGUAGAAUGUUUGUAUAAUUGAUUAUUCGAUGAGU